rnacentral:tRNA from 2 species
GCGUAAGUGGCUCAAUGGUAGAGCAUCGCCUUCCCAAGGCGAGGGCUGCGGGUUCGAGUCCCGUCUUACGCU